ACUGACGCUGUUUUAUUCGCGCGUCCGUGUACUGUCGGUCGCCAUUUUGUGCAAGGUUAGGAGCGAAUGUAUUUAGGUAGUAUUUAAGAGGAUUAAUAUUUAUUACAAGUUGAGUUAUGACCUGUUUUAUUUAAAUUUUAUUUAUAAAUACUAAAAUAAGAAAGUAUCAAUCUAAAUAUAUACUAUGGACUGUCCAAAUCGUGGAUUUCGCGGUGGACGCGGUGGGCCACCCGGAGGCCCUCGCGGGCGAGGAAACUUUGAUAUGAGAGGACGAGGCGGACCUGGAAUGAGGGGCAGAGGUGGACCGCCGCGUGGUGGUGGUCCACCACUACGGGGUGGUCCUCGACCGUUUCGCGGUGGACCGAUGCGUGGAGGUGGUGGUGAGAGAGGUGGUCGAUUUCCGCCCGGUCCACAAGGUCCUGGCCCACAUCCAGUACCGACCAUUGAAAGUAGGGGACCUCCACAAACAGGUGGGUUCGUCAAUAACAGAGGAGGCCCUGGAGGGAUGAGAGGACGUGGCGGUAGAGGAAGAGGGGACUUUGGUCCUCGUGGAGACAGGGGUGUUGGGCGUGGAGGCCCUUACAUGAGAGGCAGAGGAGGACGCGGGGGACAUGGCCCACCAGGAGGGCCACCAACAGGCCCUCAUGGAGCCCCACAUGAUCCCAGUGGGCCCUUACCUAGGCCUGCACCUCAAGGACUUUCACCUCCUCAAAUUGCAUACAAGAGAGGUGGUGGACCUCCUCAUGGUGGCCCUGGGGUACCACCAAAGCGUGGAAGGUUUGAGGGUCCACGCGGCGGUGGAGGUGGGGGAAGACCGCCGGCAUCUGGUGGAUACCAACAAGCACCAGUACACAAUCCUGUACCACAACCAAAUGGAUAUGGACCACCAGCACACACAGGCUACCAACCAUAUGAGCAACCAGCGGCAGAUCCCUAUGCAGCGACCUCAUACAAUACGUCUAGUUCCUAUCAAGGUGGUAGCUAUUCAUCACCAGCCCCUGCCCCUGCAAGCACUGGUUAUAAUUCUGGUGGUUAUGGGUCAAAUUAUGGCUAUUCUACGGGACAAGGGGGCUAUGAAAAUGAUGGCUAUGGCAGUGCGGGAGGCGCCGGCGACGCGGGCUACGGGCCGAGCGAGCCGGCGUACGGAGGCGCCGCGCCCGCAUACGACUCAUACGCGCAGCCCUCCUACAACACCUACCAGCAGCCGCAGACACAGUACAACGCUAGCUAUGAAUUUGGUUGAAAAUCAUGACAAAAAUGGUCUUAAUAAAACAAGAAUUGAAUGAAAUAAAACAUCAACUACUCAAAACAGUCGAGAGCAGGGAGAGCAUCGUAUUUCGGUUUCGCAACGAUGCGGCGCGUAAGCUUUAUCGAGAGUAGCAUAUAUGUGAAUUGUGGAAUUCAAAAUUAUUGUUAUUGUAUUAGUGAUAACAAAAUAAAAGAACAUUAAGUAAAUAA
rnacentral:misc_RNA from 1 species